rnacentral:rRNA from 1 species
GAUGAACGCUAGCGGCAGGCUUAAUACAUGCAAGUCGAGGGGCAGCAUGAAUGUAGCAAUACAUUUGAUGGCGACCGGCAAACGGGUGCGGAACACGUACACAACCUUCCUAUAAGUGGGGAAUAGCCCAGAGAAAUUUGGAUUAAUACCCCGUAACAUAAUGAUGUGGCAUCACAUUAUUAUUAUAGCUUCGGCGCUUAUUGAUGGGUGUGCGGCUGAUUAGAUAGUUGGCGGGGUAACGGCCCACCAAGUCUACGAUCAGUAGCUGAUGUGAGAGCACGAUCAGCCACACGGGCACUGGGACACGGGCCCGACUCCUACGGGAGGCAGCAGUAAGGAGUAUUGGUCAAUAGACGCAAGUCUGAACCAGCCAUGCCGCGUGAAGGAUUAAGGUCCUCUGGAUUGUAAACUUCUUUUAUCUGGGACGAAAAAAGGCUAUUCUUAGUCACUUGACGGUACCAGAUGAAUAAGCACCGGCUAACUCCGUGCCAGCAGCCGCAGUAACAC